CCCCCCAUUCCUCCUCUGCAAUUCAAGUAUGUCUCCUUAUGAUAAUACUACAUUUCUCCUGACAUGCAUAUUGCCCUCUCAAGCGAUGUCAUUCCCUGCUUGCUCCAGCCCUCCACCUUUAACUACGUCACAAGUGCAAAUUACCACAAUUUGUAACAAUGUGUCGGGCUUCCAUAUAGCUCUGCAUUGGCAUGACUUGUUGACAGUAGGUGGGGGCGGUACGUCUUGUGUAAACACAAACUCACUUCCCUACCAAUAGCUCUGCUGUGCUCCGCUAAGUGCAAGAAGUAUGAAAGCCAUGACGUCUGCGGGAGGCUGCAUCGCAGUAAAUGCUGUACGGCCACUUCAGCUGUCGGAUUGACCAUAUAAUAAUUUGUUCUUAACUGACUUGCCUAGUUAAAUAAAGGUUAAAUAAAAAUGAGGUAUGUUGUUUCUGACUCAUAUCUCGCGCCGGCUCCGCAGUGUCUUAAUAGUCCUUUCUCUCAUUUCCGGGGUUGGGACAAACACUACUGUUCAAAAGUUUGCUGUCACUUGAUUUUGACCGUGAUUUUUAAAGAAAAGCACUUUUUGUUCAUUAAAAGAACAUCAAAUUGAUCAGAAAUACAGUGUACACAUUGUUAAUGUUGUAAAUGACUAUUGUAGCUGGAAACGGCUGCUUUAAAAAUAAAUAAAUACAUUUUUUAAUGGAAUAUCUACAUUUAUCAGCAUCCAUCACUGUGUUCCAAUGGCAUGUCACAUCAACUGUGAAGAGGCGACUCUGGGACGCUGGCCGUCUAGGCAGAGUUAAAAGCCAUAUCUCUGUCCAGUGUCUGUGUUCUUUUGCCCAUCUUAAUCUUUUAUUUUUAUUGGUCUGAGAUAUGGCUUUUUCUUUGCAACUCUGCCUAGAAGGCCAGCAUCCCGGAGUCGCCUCUUCACUGUUGACGUUGAGGCUGGUGUUUUGCGAAUAUUAUUUAAUGAAGCUGCCAUUUGAGGACUUGUGAGGCAUCUGUUUCUCAAACUAGACAAUCUAAUGUACUUGUCCUCUUGCUCAGAUGUGCACUCCCACUCCUCUUUCUAUUCUGGUUAGAGCCAGUUUGUGCUGUUCUGUGAAGGGAGUAGUACACAGCGUUGUACGAGCGUCAGUUUCUUGAUAAUUUCUCGCCUUCAUUUUCAGAACAAGAAUAGACUGACGAGUUUCAGAAGAAAGUUCUUUGUUUCUGGCCAUUUUGAGCCUGUAAUCGAACCCACAAAUACUGAUGCUCCAGAUACUCAACUAGUCUAAAGAAGGACAGUUGUAUUGCUUCUUUAAUCAGGACAACAGUUUUCAGCUGUGCUAACAUAAUUGCAAAAGGGUUUUCUAAUGAUCAAUUAUUAGCCUUUUAAAACGAUAAAAUUGGAUUAGCUAACACAACACAGGAGUGAUGGUUGCUGAUAAUGGGCCUCUGCACGCCUAUGUAGAUAUUCCAUAAAAAAUCAGCCGCUUCCAGCUACAAUAGUCAUGUACAACAUUAACAAUUAGCCUAGUGGUUAGAGAGUUGGACUAGUUACCGAAAGGUUGCAAGAUCGAAUCCCCGAGCUGACAUGGUAAAAAUGUGGUUCUGCCCCUGAACAAGGCAGUUAACCCACUGUUCCUAGGCCGUCAUUGACGAUAAGAAUUUGUUCUUAACUGACUUGCCUAGUUAAAUAAAGGUAAAAUAAAACAUUCUACUCAAUUUGAUGUUAUUUUAAUAGACAGAUUUUUUGGGAGUUUCUUUCAAAAACAAGGACCUUUGUAAGUGACCCCAAACUUUUGAACAGUAAUGUACAUUUUGGCGAAAAUCUGGGAAAUCCUAUGUCCGGUGUCAGGUGUAUGGUAUUUUCUCAAUAGAAAUGACGUGAGCCAAGAAAAGAGAUCAGCUUCUCAUUAACUAGCUAACGUUUUAUUAUAGCUAUAUAGUGUUCGGUGUACUGUUGUUUUGAAAUAACAUUCUAUAUAUUUAUUUGAUUGCAUACUUUAUAUACAUAGUCUUAGCAAGCUCUUUGGCAGCAAGCUAAGCAUUUUUAGCUAGCUUUGCAAAUGUUAGCCUAGUUAACUAGCUAGCAUCAAGUGUUGGUGAUAGAAAAAUGUCCGUAGACGCAACUCUAGCUUAGGUUAGAAGAAAGACUGACGUUUAUUUUUUACUGGAUAAUUACUUUUCAAUUCAUUUUGAUGCACCUGUAGAACAAGGAGCUAGUUAGCAAAGAUUUUUUAUAUCUGUGCCCUUGGUGUACAACAGCUUCUAUUACCCAUGAGAGAUAAUGCCAUCAUGGUUUGAUAGGCCUGAGACCCCAGUGCAGCGCAAUGUAAACAAGUGUAAUGGUAGGGUGGGAAUCUUCUGGCUAGCAUAGCAUGGACAAACCUAACACAAAUUAAAGUUUAUGUAGUUGCUGUAAUAUUUGAAGAUGGGGAUUGGACCACUCGUCCGGAUAAACAUUAGCUAGUUAUCGGUAAGCUAUCUAACGUUAACAGUUAGCUAUCCGCUUAUCUAGAAGACAGCGGAUGUUCCUGAGUGGCCGAGGUAGAUUUUAGUCAAAACUAUGGCAAGGCCUGAUAAUGGUUGUAUAGCAAUGAUCAACCACUCCAGACUACCUUUUCUCAUCACACAAAGACGCAUACAAAGCUCUCCCUCGCCACCAUUCGGCAAAUCUGACCAUAAUUCUAUCCUCCUGAUUCCUGCUUACAAGCAAAAACUAAAGCAGGAACUAUCAGUGACUCACUCAAUACAAAAGUGGUCAGAUACCACGGAUGCUACGCUACAGGACUGUUUUUCUAGCACAAACUGGAAUAUGUUCCGUGAUUCAUCCAAUGGCAUUGAGGAGUAUACCAUCUCAGUCACCCGGCUUUAUCAAAAAGUGCAUCAACGACGUUGUCCCCACAGUGUACGUACGUACGUACGUACAUAUCCCAACCAGAAGCAAUGGAUUAUUGGCAACAUCCGCAUCGAGCUAAAGGCGAGAGCUGCCAUUUUCAAGGAGCGGGACACUAAUCUGGACGCUUAUAAGAAAUUCCUCUAAGCCCCCAGACGAACCAUCAAACAGACAAAGUGUCAAUACAGGACUAAGAUUGAAUCCUACUACACCGGCUCUGAUGCUCGUCGGAUGUAGCAGGGCUUGCAAACUAUUACGGACUACAAAGGGAAACCCAGCCUACCAGACGAGCUAAAUACCUUAUAUGCUCGCUUCGAGGCAAGCGACACUGAAGCAUGCAUGAGAUGUCAACAGUCAAUAGAACUUUGUCUGAUGAAUCUAAUGUGAAGGGGGGCCGAAGGAGACAGGAAUGAGUAAUCACUUCCAUGGGCUGAUCACGCAUUCACCAUGCGCCUUCACAUGAGGAGGACCUCUGUUCCACCGCUCUUCUGAAGUCAAUUUAAUUUUCCGGUUGGAACGUUAUUCAAGAUGUAUGUUAACAACAUUCUAAAGAUUGAUUCAGUACAUCGUUUGACAUGUUUCUACUGACUGUUACGGAUUUUUUGGACAGAGGCGCGUUGUGACUUCGGAAUUGUUUACCGAAGGCGCGAACCAAAGUAUCUAAAUUGACAUAAAUAACGGACAUUAACGAACAAAUGAAGCAUUUAUUGUGGACCUGGGAUUCCUAGGACUGCAUUCUGAUGAAUUCAUCAAAGGUGGACUCCAAUCAAGUUGUAGAAACAUCUCAAGGAUGACCAAUGGAAACCGGAUGCACAUGAGCUCAAUUUCGAGUCUCAUAGAAAAAGGUCUGAAUACGUAUGUAAAUAAGAUGUGAACGUGGAGUCUUUCCAGAUCUUCUCGUGCUCUGGCUGUCCAUUCUCCUAUCACCUCUUCCUCCUCAAACACAUAAAGAGAUGUCACCAUGAUAUGUAUGUCAGACUGUUGAGGAGUGGAGAGAUCAGAGAAUCUCAUGUCCUUCAGCAGCUCACAACACCAUGGAACCACCACAGGUUCAUUCAACCCAGCUCCCACCAGGAAACAGAAAGAGACGGACAAGGCACGGCCACGGCCACACCACUGUUCUCAGUGUGGGGAGAGCGUCAUUAAAGAUCUUCUCAGAACACACCAACGCAUUCACACAGGAGAGAGGCCGUUCCACUGCUCCCAGUGUGGGAAGAGUUUCAAUACAGGGAGUGAUUACAAUAGACACCAGCUCACUCACACAGGAGAGAAGCCGUUCCACUGCUCCCAGUGUGGGAAGAGUUUCAGGGAGUCAGGAAAUUUAAAGAUACAUCAGCGCAUUCACACAGGAGAGAAGCCGUUCCACUGCUCCAAGUGUGGGAAGAGCUUUGGUUUCAUACACGUUCUAACAGCACAUCCAGCGCACUCACACAGGAUAGAAACCGUUCCUCUGCUCCCAGUGUAGGAAGAGUUUGUCAAGAGUAAUCUCAGAACACACCAGCACAUUCACACAGGAGAGAAGCUGUUCCACUGUUCCCAGUGUUGGAAUACUUAUAUUCGAAAUCUAAAGACACACCAGUGUUCUUAAAGAGUAAAGAAGAGUUCACUUGUAAAUGGGAUGGUAAUGUGACAAUGAGAUUCAGUAACUUUAUAUUCUAUCAAGAAACAUGACUGAUGUCUUUUGUACAUAGAUACCAGGUUUGGGGUUAGUUCAGGAAGUACAAUUUAAAUUCCAAUUCUCUUCCAAUGUUUUCCAAUUAGUAAAAUUUGGAAUUGACCCCAACUCGGAUAGAUCAUGUUGAAUUAUUCUGAUAUGAUAUUCACAGAACUCACAUUUGAAUAUAGUAAAUUACGCAUGUGUAUAUUAACUGUAAAUAUUUAACUAAUCUUUGAACUGAAAUGUAUACCCCCUCGAAUCAUAAACAUGGCAAGAUUUAAAUCUGUUUUUGAUAUCACAAUAAAAUACAGAUCUCCUUU